rnacentral:rRNA from 1 species
AUGUCGAGAUCUCUUCGCCGGCGACCGGCCGCCAGACCAUCCAUCAAGGCCCUCAGCAGCUAUAACCGAUGGACCCCUCUAGCCAAUCUGGCAGAGGAAGAAGAUCAACUAGACCGGCUCAGCAAUUUGCCUGAUGGCGUGUUGCUCGAUAUUGUAGGGCGACUUGACAUCACAGAUGCUGCCAGAACCAGAAUCCUCGCCAGACGGUGGAAGCAGAUUCCUACUAUGCUCUCCAAAAUUUUAUUAACAGUUGGUCCCUUUGACGAUGUGCGCAAUAGAGGGUUGACCGCUGAUGAUGUAGCUCGGGCCAAUGCCACCGUGCUUGGAGCGACCAGGAGCAUGCUGGAAAGCAGGACUACAAGUCUAUGCACCAUUAACCUCCUGUGUGUGCGAUUCUUCUUGGGCGAUGGAACUCUCAGUAUUGGCCACACUGUUGCCAACACCAUGGUAACGGAGAAGGUUGGGUCAGCGGAGUUAACUCUCUUUACAAUGAAGGAAGGCAAACGAUGCACAGACGAUGAUGUUCUCGCUUACGGGAAACAGUUCAAGUCAUUUCUUGACGCCUGUCCAAACGCAUUCAGUGGUCUUGCACGACUCCAGCUAGAAAAUUUGAGGCUAGCUGAAUCAUCGGGCUUCCCUGAAAUUUUCAGUAUAUGCAAGCGACUGGAGUUCCUACGCCUGUUUAACUGCGACAUGGGGUUCCUGUCUUUGCUACAAGUGUCACACCCCCUACUCCGUGAACUCGAGAUUGUCAGGUGUAAUUUUGAGAGGGUUGAUCUUAAGUGGCUGCCGAAGCUCACGAUGCUGACUUUUUCUUGGUGGGUCUCUGAGCAUGAUCCUUUGUCUUUAGAUUAUGUCCCACUGCUCCAGACACUGAGCAUCACUCAUAUGGCUCGUUUACGGCAUAAGGUGCUCAAGUUAAGUGAGUUCCUUAGCAAAGCCACCAUAAGCGAACUGACUUUAAACUUUCUGUGUGAAAAGAUCUAG